GUCUGACGCAGCCAUGCCGCGUGGAUGAAGAAGGCCCUAGGGUUGUAAAGUCCUUUCGACGGGGAAGAUGAUGACGGUACCCGUAGAAGAAGCUCCGGCUAACUUCGUGCCAGCAGCCGCGGUAAUA
rnacentral:rRNA from 1 species